UGCCUUCACUGUCCCUGGCCACAAUCCCUACAGUCGCUUGAUUAAACUUUCCAUCAUAGGCUGCAUCAAAAUUGAUCUUCACGAACUGGUCAGGUGGCUUUCUCCAUUUCCUAAUUAUUAUAGAAGAUUGUGACUUAUUCCUGUCGAUCUCAUUCAACUCUGCUAUGCAACUGCUAACAAAUCUGCCCAAAGCUUUUCCAGAUUUACUCACUUUUUUGUGCACUCUAUCAUUCCUAUCUCCCCAGAUUGCCCAUAAUGCACAGCAAAAUGUCCUACACUGUGAUGCUGAAUUCUUCGCAAGUACCCAGGUUAGCCACUGUAUAAACUCCAUCUGACUUUCGUGUAGAAAAACUUUGCAUGAUAAUUCCUUCCAUACUGAAAUUAACACAGGACAUUCCCAAAAGAGAUGAUCCAUGUUCUCCGAUCCAGCUCCACAUCGGGGGCAUACUGAUGUAUUAGUUAGCUUUUUCUGAAGCAAAUUAACUCGUGUAGCUAGGAAAUUCCAUGAUAUCUUCCAUACUGUAAUUUUGAUUUUUGAGGGGAGGUUAAGAAUCCACAAUUUUUUGUAAAAUUCCUCAUAGCCAUAUUGUAAAGCGUAAGCUCUAGGAUCAUUUUCAAUACUCUGUAAUAGUUUAUAGGCGCUUCGCACUGUGAAUUAACCCGUCGCCUCUGCAUUCCAGACCUAAAAAUCAUCAUGAGGU
rnacentral:lncRNA from 1 species